rnacentral:rRNA from 1 species
UACAGAGGGGGCAAGCGUUAUUCGGAAUUACUGGGCGUAAAGGGCGCGUAGGCGGCCUUCUAAGUCGGACGUGAAAUCCCUCGGCUCAACCGAGGAACUGCGUCCGAUACUGGUUGGCUUGAAUUCGGGAGAGGGAUGCGGAAUUCCAGGUGUAGCGGUGAAAUGCGUAGAUACCUGGAGGAACACCGGUGGCGAAGGCGGCAUCCUGGACCGAUAUUGACGCUGAUGCGCGAAAGCCAGGGGAGCAAACGGG